rnacentral:rRNA from 1 species
UUUAGUUUAAGUUAAUUAAAAUUAUUAUUUAUAUAUUUAUACUCUGAAUUAAAAACUAAAAUUUUAAAAGGGGGAGGUGAAAUAAAUUAAACAACUUUUAAUUAAGGUUUAGUAAAUAUAAGUCUUAAAAAGUUUGUGCCAGCAUUAGCGGUUAUACAAACAGAUUUAAUUUGAAUUUGGUAAAAAUCAGUCUGGAUUUAAUAUCUUUAGGGGGGUGGAAUCCCUAAAGAUAUUAAAUCCAAAAUCCAGGAUUUUUAUAAGCUUUGUUUUAAGACUAGGAUUAGAUACCCUAUUAUUAUAGAAAAAAUAGAAAGAUACCUAAGUAUUAUAAAAUUUGAAACUUAAAAAAUUUGGCGGUGGUUUAUUCCGACUAGAGGAUCUAGCUUAUUGAGUUGAUAGUACGCUUUUGACCUUAUCUAAAUUUUUCUUUAUGUAUUGCUGUUUAAUAUAUUUCUUGUUUAAAAAUUAAAAAUAAAUAUUUUGUAAAAUAUUUUUUCAAGUCAAAGUUUAGGAUAUUUAGAGUUAAGUGGGGUACAUUAUAUAAUAUAAUUUUAACCAAUCAAAAAUGGUUAACACUAAAAUUUAGGAUUUAGAAGUAAUUAAAAUAAGAGUGUUUUAAUGAAAAGGCUCUAAACUAUACACAUAUCGCCCGUCACUCCCAAGAGGGACAAGUCGUAACAAAGUAGGCCCUCUUGAAAGAAGGCC